GACGAACGCUGGCGGCGCGCCUAACACAUGCAAGUCGAACGAAGAAAGUGAUAGUUUACUAGAGCUUUCUUAGUGGCGGACGGGUGAGUAACACGUGAAGAACCUGCCUUACAGAGGGGGACAACAGUUGGAAACGACUGCUAAUACCGCAUAACGCUUUUGAGAGGCAUCUCUUGAAAGCCAAAGGAGCAAUCCGCUGUAAGAUGGCUUCGCGUCCGAUUAGACAGUUGGCGGGGUAACGGCCCACCAAAUCUACGAUCGGUAGCCGGACUGAGAGGUUGAUCGGCCACAUUGGGACUGAGACACGGCCCAGACUCCUACGGGAGGCAGCAGUGGGGAAUAUUGCACAAUGGAGGAAACUCUGAUGCAGCGACGCCGCGUGAGGGAAGAAGGUCUUCGGAUUGUAAACCUCUGUCUUCGGUGACGAAAAUGACGGUAGCCGAGGAGGAAGCCACGGCUAACUACGUGCCAGCAGCCGCGGUAAUACGUAGGUGGCAAGCGUUGUCCGGAAUUACUGGGUGUAAAGGGAGCGUAGGCGGGAAGGCAAGUCGAUUGUCUAAACUAUGGGCUCAACCCAUAGUCGCGAUCGAAACUGUCUUUCUUGAGUGAAGUAGAGGUAAGCGGAAUUCCUAGUGUAGCGGUGAAAUGCGUAAAUAUUAGGAGGAACACCAGUGGCGAAGGCGGCUUACUGGGCUUUAACUGACGCUGAGGCUCGAAAGCGUGGGUAGCAAACAAGAUUCCAUACCCUGGUAGUCCACGCCGUAAACGAC
rnacentral:rRNA from 1 species